UUUGCUGACACAGUUUCGCUGGACGCCCUUCUCCAGUUUAAUCUUCUCCUGGGAGGUGACAUUUUAGGUUAUUGGGUCACAGAUUGCUGGCACACUCAUCCCUGUUCUCAAACAUCCUUUAAACUUGGGUGAAGUGAUAAGUAGGAGAAGAAUAUGAUUUACUGAAAGAAUCUCCUGAGAAGAGAUUCAGACUGAACAGCUUUGUGUCAGACUUUGGAAGACCACUGGUGCCCAAGGUGUUAUCUGGCACAGCAACGACUAAUCUAGGUCCCUCUUUCACUGCUACGUCAAUGAAGUGGGCCACUUGGAGAAGGCCAAACCUGGUAUCCCAAACAUAGCCCUUGACAGUGAUAUUCAGCUCCAGGAAGCCAUUAGAU